rnacentral:rRNA from 1 species
UACGAAGGGGGCUAGCGUUGCUCGGAAUCACUGGGCGUAAAGGGUGCGUAGGCGGGUUUUUAAGUCAGGGGUGAAAUCCUGGAGCUCAACUCCAGAACUGCCUUUGAUACUGAAGAUCUUGAGUUCGGGAGAGGUGAGUGGAACUGCGAGUGUAGAGGUGAAAUUCGUAGAUAUUCGCAAGAACACCAGUGGCGAAGGCGGCUCACUGGCCCAUUACUGACGCUGAGGCACGAAAGCGUGGGGAGCAAACAGG